GACGAACGCUGGCGGCGUGCUUAACACAUGCAAGUCGAACGGAAAGGCCCUUCUUUUGUGGGGUGCUCGAGUGGCGAACGGGUGAUUAACACGUGAGUAACCUGCCCUUGACUUUGGGAUAACUUCAGGUAACUUGGUCUAAUACCGGAUAGGAGCUCCUGCUGCAUGGUGGGUGUUGGAAAGUUUCGGCGGUUGGGGAUGGACUCGCGGCUUAUCAGCUUGUUGGUGGGGUAGUGGCUUACCAAGGCUUUGACGGGUAGCCGGCCUGAGAGGGUGACCGGCCACAUUGGGACUGAGAUACGGCCCAGACUCCUACGGGAGGCAGCAGUGGGGAAUAUUGCACAAUGGGCGGAAGCCUGAGGCAGCAACGCCGCGUGCGGGAUGACGGCCUUCGGGUUGUAAACCGCUUUCGCCUGUGACGAAGCGUGAGUGACGGUAAUGGGUAAAGAAGCACCGGCUAACUACGUG
rnacentral:rRNA from 1 species